ensembl:lncRNA
GCUCAUUUAUUCCUUUAAAAUUAUCUUCCCUUUCUCACAAUUCACUAUGUAGUACAGUAAAUUUAGUCCAAUCUGGUGAAAAGCAAAUCUGAUUCACUUAGUUGAACAGUCUUUUUUAGGUUUAAUUCACUUACUUUGGAACAGAUUCUUUCCAGAUUCUUCCCCUGCCCACCGCUCCACCUGCUACCUCAACAGGGGCUUCUCUGUUCCUACAGCUGAGAAGCACUUUUGGGAUCCACCUAGUUUCCUCUCAUUCUUUCCGGCUCUGGAGUGAUAGCCUUCAUCUGCUUGGUUGCUUUUACCCCGCUGGUGACGUGGCUGAAGUUAGGGGCCAACGAAUGCAUGGUUAGAUGGGCUGGGCUUCUUGGUUCUCCUGCCUGCAUCUCACCUCAGCCAGAGAAUCUCUCAAAUUCCCCGGCGUGCUGCUAGGGCCAAUGUUUUCUGCAUGUCCUCUUACCCUUUGCCACAACAGGCCCCAAGGUCUCAACUUGGUUACAUUCUGACCACCCCCGACCACACCCCAGCAACCUGUGGGAAUUCCAGAUUCUGCUCACACUUUGCAGGUGCUCAGGCCUCUGCUGCCUGCCUGCACUGUGCCGCUGACUUCUGUGGAAUGAGGAAGUGCCUCAUUUGGAGUGACCACCUGUGAGGCAGUGUCCUGCAGGAGUCCCCAACAAUGCCCCUGUCCUCUGCGUGCUCCUCACUCUGCCCAGCACACUCACUGUGGUCAGCACCCAUGGGCCUCCCCCGUUGCUGCCUUACUUCCCCUUUCCCUGAACAAAGAGGAAUCUUGAGGCAUCACGUUGGGCAAAUUACAAAGGACCCAAAAUAAGGCUUUCCUCAGGCUUCUCCUUCUCGACACAAAUAGGAGCAAAUUUUUGAUCGAAGAAUUAGAUAUCAAGUCAAGCUGUCAUGUGCAAAAACGACAUGGACAUUCUCAGAUAAGGAAGGGCUUAGAAAAUGAAGCCCCGUGGACAACCAGAAGAGGAGAUAUGCCAGUGCAUCUGAAAGAUGUCCGUAAAUCAAGAAGGCAAAGUCCGAUUAUGUCAGAGGUGAGCACUGGACUAGAUUCAAUGCAUACUGUAAAUUAUAAAUGGCAAUUAUAAAUAUAUAACAACAGAAUACAAGUGCCAGAGGAACUUCAAAGUGAGAGGUAUUAAACUGUAUAAUAAUGUGAUGGAACUAUGAUUCCAGAUAAAAUUUAAAAAGCUUGUGAAGGGCUUGGGGUAGUGAGGAGAUGAGCCACAUUGCCUCAUAAGCUUUGAGGAAAGUUUUUAUUUCUGUGCAAAGAAAUUUAGGCAACUUUUAAAUUCUCAAAAAAGAAAUCAGAUUAAGAGCAAGUGGUCAAGGGUUACUGGAUCAGUAAAUUGGAAUGUCUUAAAUAUAUGUAUUUAUAGGCUGGCUUGCAAAGUCUAUUCACUGAUGUAAAUUGGUGUUGAUUGAGUGAACAGCUUUAAAACUGGCUUUGGUGACUACUCGUUGCCAUAGCUACAGAACAAUCGGUCUUCUCCUAAGUUUGCAGGGACUGCUUUAUUUUGCUUCCCUUUUCGUCAUCGUUCAGACAACACCGCAUGAGAGAUUAUGAGUGAGGGGUCAGGUCUGCACCCCAGGGGAAGAAUUCUUCUUAAAGAUAAGGCUUUGUUUACAGACAUCUGGUUUUUAGUUGGAGAGUUGAUCAAUGUGACUUUACUCUGCUUGUGCCUGAAUCAUUUGCAGAAUUGUUUGUCAGGACAGUGACCCCCAAGAAGCAUUUAAGAUUCUAUGCAACAUGGGGCCGGCCCUGUGGCACAGCGGUUACGUGCACAUGUCCGCUUCAGUGGCCCGGGGUUUGCCAAUUCGGAUCCCGGGUGCGGACAUGGCACCGCUUGGCAUGCUAUGCUGUGUGUGGUAGGCGUCGCACAUAUAAAGUAGAGGGAGAUGGGCAUGGGUGUUAGUUCAGGGCCAGUCUUCCUCAGCAAAGAGAGGAGGAUUGGCAGUAGUUAGCUCAGGGCUAAUCUUCCUAAAAAAAAAAGAUUCUAUGCAAUAGACAUUGAACAAUAGAAAGACAAAUAAGUAGCAGUUUUAUAUUUUAAAAAGAGGGGCAAAGAUAAGUCCCAACAAUUCCCUGUGUCUAUGUGAAAUAGCCAGAUUGUCUUUUUCUUUAGCAUAGCUAUGGAUUGUUUUUUCUCAUGUGUAGUGUUAAUUCAGGCAGCAAUAGUGCAGAUUCCACCCUAGUUGGCCAAAAGAAAAGCUAUAGAUUUUAUUAUCCAUAACUACUUUAGCUAAGGAAUUUAAACCGGUCUGUUAUAUCUUCAGGCUGUGCUUUUUACUAUGCCAGCAAAUAUGAGGUAACAAAUUUUUGAUGACCAACUCAAAUGGUUUAACUCCUAAGGAUGGAGUUACUGUCAUCAGAAAUCUCUUCCUAAAAAGAGGGAUGGGGUUUUCUGUCCAUUUGGACUCUCUGUAGAGAGAUCUAGCCCGCUGAGGGCUGCGUAGUCAAUCCUCUGGAAUGACUUCACUCAAGGGUUGACAAACGGUGGCCUGCAGGCCAAAUCCAGAUCCCCAAAUGUUUUUAUAUUUUUAAAAAUCUGUUAAAAAAAAGAACGGGUAACAGACUGUAUACGGCUCGCAACACCUAAAAUAUUUACUGUCUUCCCUUUACAGAAAAUGUUUGCCAACUCCUGACCUAACUAAUAGCCAUAUUAAUUCAAGGACAUUUUACUUAAAGCCCAGACUUAGGCAAGUCAUUAUCAGCAAGGGGAACAUGACAGAGUAAGUGAGAAGUGCAGUAACUUUAAACUGGUAAAGAAGUUCAAUGAAAAUUAUAAUAAACAACAGUAUGCAAAGGUGAGUGUGACAUGUAGAAGAAUCUUGUUCCAGUGGUCUUGGACAGGAGCUUUCUACUCCAUUUGACUAUCAGCUUGUCCCAAGGCUCUUGUGUCAGCCAUCAAGCUUUGAUGAGCGUCUACUUCUUGAGACUCUGGAGGACUUCUGUUUAGGCUCUUUCAUGAUUGUAACUUUCCAUGUUUGUUAAAUUCCUUUUCAUUUUUCAAUAGGAUUGGGAGUAGUGGAGACAGAUUUCUGAGUAAGAAGUGGAAGCUUGUGUAAUUUAAACACAUGAACACAGUCCCCCUCCAUAUCCAUGGGUUUCAGAUUUGAAUCCAGGGAUGUUAAACUCGAGAAUACAGAGAGUGAACUGCGUUCAUUGUGCUACACCAUUUUAUCUAAGGAGCUUGAGCAUCCCUGGAUUUUGGUGUCUGUGGGGGGUUCCUGGAACCAAUUCCACCCCACCCCCUUACCAAGAGAUGACUCUACAGGUUUCCCCCACCAUCUGAAAGUUUGCUUUAGGCGACUUCACUUUUACGAAAGACCUAUAUUAGUACCUGUGCUUGCUAACCAAAAGAGAUCCAAGGAGGAUUUUCGCUUUUACAAAAAAGGUGAGAGCCAGCCCUGAUGGCUGAGUGGUUCAAGUUCAGCACCCUCUACUUAAGCAGCCUGGGCCAGUUCCCAUGUGCGGAACGACAUCACUCAUCUGUCAGUAACCAUGCUGUGGUGGCAGCUCACAUAGAAGAACUAGAAGGACCUACAACUAGAAUAUACAACUACAUACUGGGGCUUUAGGGAGGGGGGAAAACGGUGACAAGUGAAAAUAGCAUUCAGUGUUUGUUUCGCAGGCUGAGUCGAGCUCUUUAUAGAGGCUUAAUGGUCAAACCUACCAUCGUAAUUCAAGCCUUUCACAUCAGCCCUACCAGACGACAAACCUUGACCUUCGACACAGAGGCAGGCAGACAUAGAUGAAGGUGUAGACAUUAGUGACCUGUCUGCCCUGAGGGAUUCAGACAAUGAGAUGUUAAUAGAUGACCUCUUCCUCUCUCUUCUACACCGGAGUCUCCUGUAACUCCCACCACACCAAACUCCAAUGACUCAGCCUCACACACCACCAUCACCACCACCACCUCUCAGCCUUCCUGUGUGCUCACUGUCUUCCUGAUUCUGGGGCUGGCUCCGUGGCUGAGUGGUUAAGGUCGUGCACUCCGUUGCAGGCGGCCCAGUGUUUCGUUGGUUCGAAUCCUGGGCGUGGACAUGGCACUGCUCAUGAAACCAUGCUGAGGCAGCGUCCCACAUGCCACAACUAGAAGGACCCACAACGAAGAAUAUACAACUAUGUACUGGGGGGCUUUGGGGAGAAAAAGGAAAAAAUAAAAUCUUUAAAAAUAUGAUUACAGCUGCAGAGAUUUAUAAACAGUCUAUC